rnacentral:snoRNA from 1 species
CCGGCCUUCCUAUGAUGAUCAAAACCAAAAAUGCAUAGUUCAACCGAAUUGUCAUGUAGAAAAAACGUACCAUCUUUCGCUCCUAUCUGAUCGGCUUG